GCGGUGAAAGGACGUUCGCCUAAUCAGCUCUUUUUGCUUACCCAGACUACCUGAAAACGGUUGCCGUGGCUACGGAAUCACAUCUUGACGUCACUGAGCCUGCGGAAGUGUUUACGUGUUUCCGGCGUCGACAUCGUACCUGGACACACGGGUGGCGGCGGCGGCGGUGAAAGGACGUUCGCCUAAUCAGCUCUUUUUGCUUACCCAGACUACCUGAAAACGGUUGCCGUGGCUACGGAAUCACAUCUUGACGUCACUGAGCCUGCGGAAGUGUUUACGUGUUUCCGGCGUCGACAUCGUACCUGGACACACGGGUGGCGGCGGCGGCGGUGAAAGGACGUUCGCCUAAUCAGCUCUUUUUGCUUACCCAGGUUGGUAAAUUCGCUUAUUUCUCAAUACCGCCUUACCGCUACCGCCGUUGCCACCGUGUUUUAGUGCUUUGCUGAGUUCUCUGUGCAUAAUGUGCCUUUUUCCUAAUUGAAUGCUCCCGAAUUGAGUGCGAACUGAGUGCUACUGUGAAUGCCUGGACAACGUACCAUGACAAGCACGUGCCAGUCUUGUGAUGAGCCCCUCCCCUGUGAUGGGCGUGUCCUGAAGUGCAACGAAUGUGAGUCCUCUUACCAUGUUGGCAGUUGUUCUGGCUGGUCGGAGACGACAUUUAAGACUAAAGGAGAGAGCGGUCGCAGGGCAUGGCGAUGUGCUGCUUGCCGUUCAUCUAAAGCGAAAAGUGGGGAGAAAACUAGCAUGGACUCUGAGUUAACCAUUUGCCUGGCAGAUAUAACUAGGAGGCUUGAUGCUUUAGCAGGGCUGCCGGCUCAGGUUGGUGAGAUUAAGGUCUCAAUCCAGCUGUUGUC